rnacentral:rRNA from 1 species
AAUGAACGCUGGCGGCAUGCCUUACACAUGCAAGUCGAACGGCAGCAUGACCUUUCCUGCUAGGUUCAUGGCCAGUCGCGUACGUGAGUGUCAUGCAUCGGACCGUUCCUUUGCGUUGGGGUUAACGUAGCGACACUUAUUCCACUUCCGCACAUUCUCUGAGGAGGAAAGCAGUUGACCUUUCGGCCUUUCGCCUGAACCUCGGUCGAAGUCGGAUUUGGUAGUUGGUGAGGUAAAGGCUUACCAAGGCCACGAUCCGUAGCGGGUCUGAGAGGAUGAACCGCCACACUGGGACUGAGACACGGCCCAGACUCCUACGGGAGGCAGCAGUGGGGAAUAUUGGACAAUGGGCGAAAGCCUGAUCCAGCCAUGCCGCGUGAGUGAAGAAGGUCUUCGGAUUGUAAAGCUCUUUAAGUUGGGAAGAAGAGAAGUAUUAUAAUACAUGGUGGGCUUGACGGUACCAGCAGAAGAAGCACCGGCUAACUACGUG